CAGGUGUUGUCGGUGUCUCACACCGGGAUCAGGCUCCUGAAGACAGUGAAGAGCAGCACUGAAGAGUCGGACUACUUCAGAGUCCUACGACAUUACACCUACGCAGACAUCCUUUUUCUGACCAUACCUUCAGGGAACAUGCUGGAGUUUAAUCUAACCAAUGAGAAGCUGAUUCUGUUCUCAGCCAAGGCUCCACAGGUCAAACACAUCGUGGACUGCUUCAUCACUGAGAUCAAGAAGGACUCUGAGUAUGUGGUAGCAGAGCGUAACUUUGUGACAGACGAGCGUCCUCUGCUUGCUUUCCAUAAAGGUGACAUCAUCAGGCUGCAGGUCACGGAAGGACUGGAAAAGGG